GGCACCAUGGCUUAGCAGGUUAAAGCACCUGUUUAAUAAACAGGAGAUCCUGGAUUCAACUCCCAGUGGUGCCU